rnacentral:lncRNA from 1 species
UACGUGUGGCAUAAGUUUACCUCCUCCUUUGUCAUACCUUGUUGCCAAAUGUUCCCUUUCCCUUUGGCAUUAAAGAUUUCAUCACCCCAAUUUUGCACCUUACUUUUUAUUCUAAAUAAAAAAUCAUUGUGGCUUAAAAAUUAUUUUUUAUUCUAAAUAAAAAUUCUUUCUUAUCAUCCUUGUCCAACAUACUGAUAUGAAGAUUAAAAAUGGCGAACAUAUAUUUGCCUCUUUAAAAAAAGUGAUAAAUGGGUUUAAGUAGGUAUCCUAACAAUGGUACACAAAGUUCGG